CUGCGAAUGGCUCAUUAAAUCAGUUAUCGUUUAUUUGAUAGUACCUUACUACACGGAUAUCUGUGGUAAUUCUAGAGUUAAUACGUGCUAAAAACCCCGACUUCGGGAGGGGUGUAUUUAUUAGACUAAAAACCAAUGCCCUUCGGGGCUCCUUGGUGAUUCAUAAUAACUCAACGAAUCGCAUGGCCUUGAGCCGGCGAUGGUUCAUUCAAAUUUCUGCCCUAUCAACUUUCGAUGCUAGGGUAGUGGCCUAGCAUGGUGACAACGGGUAACGGGGGAUUAGGGUUCUAUUCCGGAGAGGGAGCCCGAGAAACGGCUACCACAUCCAAGGAAGGCAGCAGGCGCGCAAAUUACCCAAUCCCGACACGGGGAGGUAGUGACAAUAAAUACUGAUACAGGGCUCUUUUGGGUCUUGUAAUUGGAAUGAGUACGAUUUAAAUACCCUAACGAGGAACAAUUGGAGGGCAAGUCUGGUGCCAGCAGCCGCGGUAAUUCCAGCUCCAAUAGCGUAUAUUAAAGUUGUUGCAGUUAAAACGCUCGUCGUUGAACCUUGGGCCUGGGCGAUCGGUCCCCCUCACCGGGAGCACUGGUUCGGCCGGGCCUUUCCUUCUGGGGAUCCGCAUGCCCUUCACUGGGCGUGCUGGGGAACCAGGACUUUUACUUUGAAAAAAUUAGAGUGUUCAAAGCAGGCCUUUGCUCGAAUACCUUAGCAUGGAAUAAUAGAAUAGGACGCGGUCCUUUUUUU
rnacentral:rRNA from 1 species